rnacentral:rRNA from 1 species
GUGCCAGCAGCCGCGGUAAUACGGAGGAUGCAAGCGUUAUCCGGAAUGAUUGGGCGUAAAGCGUCCGCAGGUGGCUAUGUAAGUCUGCUGUUAAAGAGUCUAGCUCAACCAGAUAAAAGCAGUGGAAACUACAUGGCUAGAGUGCGUUCGGGGCAGAGGGAAUUCCUGGUGUAGCGGUGAAAUGCGUAGAGAUCAGGAAGAACACCGGUGGCGAAAGCGCUCUGCUAGGCCGCAACUGACACUGAGGGACGAAAGCUAGGGGAGCGAAUGGGAUUAGAUACCCCAGUAGUCCUAGCCGUAAACGAUGGAUACUAGGCGUGGCUUGUAUCGACCCGAGCCGUGCCGUAGCUAACGCGUUAAGUAUCCCGCCUGGGGAGUACGCACGCAAGUGUGAAACUCAAAGGAAUUGACGGGG